rnacentral:rRNA from 1 species
GGCAGCUCACUUGAGGAAAGCACCAGAUCCCAUCUGAUCUUGGAUGAUAAGCAGGAUCAGCUCUGGCUAGUGUUUGGAUGGAAGACCACCAGAGAAUGCCAAGUUCAGCAGGCU